UACGAGCGGCCCAAACGUUAUUCGGAAUUACUGGGCUUAAAGAGUUCGUAGGCGGCAUUGCAAGUAGGGUGUGAAAGCCCUCGGCUCAACCGAGGAAUUGCGCUCUAAACUGCAGUGCUUGAGGAACCUAGAGGUGAGCAGAACAGAUGGUGGAGCGGUGAAAUGCGUUGAUAUCAUCUGGAAUACCGGAGGCGAAGGCGGCUCACUGGGAGUUUUCUGACGCUGAGGAACGAAAACCAGGGUAGCGAACGGG
rnacentral:rRNA from 1 species